CCAUGGCUUUCCAGAGCUGAUCCUUUACAACUGUACUGGCAAGAAAGAGAGAGCCCACCAUGGACAGGAGUGAAAGAAGAGAGAGUAACCAGUUCCCACAUACCUUGGGUAAGGUGAAGAGCAGAGUUGGAGAAUAGAAACUCUGUUGGCUCCUUGGGGAGGAAAAACAAGCAUGGAAAAAGAGGCUUUUCUUCAUAAGUGUGCCACAUCAGUCACCCAUCGCCACUUCUGCCUUUCAUCUAUUCCCUGGCAGCCAUCCUAAGAAGAAUAACUGUCUUGACAUGAGACAGAUUAUUUCAAGGCCUUCUCCUUGAGGCCAAUCUACCCAUGAAGAUGGGGAACAGCAUUUCACAGUGUUGCCCUUCAAUCCUCUCAUGAGUGACUCAUUCUGAGACCAAACUGAGGACACUCUCCAAGAAGCCAUGCCAGGUCUCCAGCUGGUUUCAGACUAACAGCCACAAAGCAAUCAACAGACCAUUGUUUUUUAUAUAAACCGUAUGCCCUGGAACUUCGUGUCUUAUGCCACUUGUGCUAAGGUCUCUUUGCCUUAGCCCUCCCCACAGUCACAUUUAUUUUAUUAUUUAUUUAAGUUAUGCGUCAAUCAGGGGGCUGGCACAUAACAUUGGGCACCUCAAAUUGGGUAGUUUGGAGAAAGUUCAUAAAAGGAAUAUUUGUAAACAUCAAGAAGAUGGUUCUAUCCCUUGGUGCUGGUAUUGGUGAGGCACAUUUGCCACCUCUCUGUCAGAAGCUGCAAGGAGCGGGAGUGAGUCCCAAUCCUAGGGAGUCAGAGCCAUGUGGGAAGGGCUGCCUGACAGGUGCUGUCAAGAGAAUAUAUAUCCUAAUUUCAGUCUCCCUCCUUUUGAUUUCUUCCCUCUGUCUUCAUUGGCCAAACCCUGCUGGAAGCCAAAGGCCAAAGAAGCUCAUUGAUGUUGUCUACAACAGGUCGUCCCUCUAGGUCACAAGCAGGUGGAGGUGAAUGAACAGUGACUCUGAGAGGACAAUGGAAGAGGUACAGGACAACUGCACUGUCUGUCUUUGGCUCAAAAACCACCACCAGUGGCAUUUGUGUGUACAAAGCCAUUUAUAAUCUGAAGCGCACUACCUUUCCACCCCAUCUCCCACCAUUCUCACCAUGUGACAGUGCUAUGCUCAAGACAUAAGGCAGUGUCCCUGCCCAAGCCUCACACUUCCAUACCUGUGUGCCUGCCUUGUGCUUCCUCCUCUGCCUGAACCAUUCCUCUCCCUUUCCCUCUUGGAGAAUUUCUACCCAUCUUUCAAGAUGAGAGUCAACCACUUCUCUUCGAAGACUUCCCUGAUCUUAUUCUCUUCAUGUAGGCUUCAUCAAUUUUGCCUUUUUAAUACUGAAACACAGCAAAAGUAUGUGAGCACAAACUUUAUUCCUGUACCUGUUUUCCUGCUGCUAUACUGAGCAUUCCUCAAAGAUG
rnacentral:lncRNA from 10 species